GGGGGCGGAGCUUAGCUUGCGCGUGACAGAGUGCCAACUGAAAUAACGGUAAACUGAUCUGCCCGUUCACUAGCGAAACCACCCAACUUUUUCUGUCAGCAUGUUUGCCUACGUCCGGUAUAUUGACGACAACAUCCGACAGAUAGUGCCCUUGGACUACGUAAAAGGCUUCUGUCCAAAGGAUCUCAAGGAUUUUGAAACCAAGAAAAAAUAUAAUAUUUUGUGGAAGAAAUCGCCAGAGGACCAGGGGCAAUACUACAAAGCACAGAUAUUAAAAUUGGCUGGUCUGAUCAGUCAGCCCCAGUGAAGCCUGUGAAUUAAGUGUGAACUUAACUGUGAAUUAAGCA